UACAGAGGUCUCAAGCGUUGUUCGGAUUCAUUGGGCGUAAAGGGUGCGUAGGUGGCGCUGUAAGUCGGGUGUGAAAUUUCGGAGCUUAACUCCGAAACUGCAUUCGAUACUGCGGUGCUUGAGGACUGGAGAGGAGACUGGAAUUCAUGGUGUAGCAGUGAAAUGCGUAGAGAUCAUGAGGAAGACCAGUGGCGAAGGCGGGUCUCUGGACCGUAACUGACGCUGAGGAGCGAAAGCGUGGGGAGCGAACAGG
rnacentral:rRNA from 1 species